rnacentral:rRNA from 1 species
GAUGAACGCUGGCGGCGUGCCUAAUACAUGCCAGUCGAGCGAACGGACGAGAAGCUUGCUUCUCUGAUGUUAGCGGCGGACGGGUGAGUAACACGUGGAUAACCUACCUAUAAGACUGGGAUAACUUCGGGAAACCGGGGCUAAUACCGGAUAAUAUUUUGAACCGCAUGGUUCAAAAGUGAAAGACGGUCUUGCUGUCACUUAUAGAUGGAUCCGCGCUGCAUUAGCUAGUUGGUAAGGUAACGGCUUACCAAGGCAACGAUGCAUAGCCGACCUGAGAGGGUGAUCGGCCACACUGGAACGGAGACACGGUCCAGACUCCUACGGGAGGCAGCAGUAGGGAAUCUUCCGCAAUGGGCGAAAGCCUGACGGAGCAACGCCGCGUGAGUGAUGAAGGUCUUCGGAUCGUAAAACUCUGUUAUUAGGGAAGAACAUAUGUGUAAGUAACUGUGCACAUCUUGACGGUACCUAAUCAGAAAGCCACGGCUAACUACGUG